rnacentral:rRNA from 1 species
AUGGCUCCCAAGAAGGUGAACAUGGAGUACAUCGCCCACGGCUCACCCCGGAAGGCGACGUUCAAGAAACGCGGCAUCGGGAUGAAGAAGAAGGCCCGCGAGUUGUCCACCCUGUGCGGCGUCGACGUGUGCUACGUAAUGUACUACCCCGAGGGCGAGUCAUCGCAGGUGCCCGAGGUGUAUCCGUCUGUCCCGGAGGCGAUGCGCGUUAUAGACCGCUUCAGGUCCACGCCGGAGCUCGACCGGUGCAAGAAGAAGAUUGGCGGAGAGGACUACAUCCGGGAGCGCAUCAGCAAGCUCCAGGAGCAGCUUUCCAAGGCGCGAUGCGACAGCCACCGGCUCGAGACAAAGGUGCUGCUGCACGACGUCUUGGUCGGUCACCGCCAGAGCCUCGCCGGCCUCAACAUCGAGCAGCUCGCCAGCUUGGGCUGGAUGGCGGAUAACUAUAUGAAGAAGGUCAGUGACUGCAUCGCCUCAAACAAGAGUAGGCGGCAUGCUGAUCCGCUGCAUUGCGCUGCCAUCGGCGCCGACGUCAAUGCCGAGGGCCCACCACUGCAAGGUUGGGCUACGGAGGUUGUCAAGCCCGGACCUGACGUCGACAGCGCAGCAUACGGUGGCAACGCCGAUGGUGAUGUGACGCAGAUCAGCAACUUGGCCGUGGGAUUUGCAUGGGCUGAUCGAGGUCCGCAUUUUCCUCGCGUAUAA